ACGUCAACUCUUUUCUUCUCCGCCGAUGCUGCCAGACCUGCUGAGUUUUUCCAGGUAAUUCUGUUUUUGUUUAAGAGUUGGAGGACUGGAAAGACUAUGGUCCUCCAGGCAAUCAGAGCGCGGGCUUUGUGUGAAUGAAAAUUGAGCUUCACACAGACUAAAACUUCCUCCUGUGUCCAACAUCUGAUGUUAGAAGGGAAGGAUUUGCAGACAAAAACCUCAAACCAAUCAUCACAUCAAGAUCUGACGCAGCCACUUGAUUCAUGGGACUUGAGUAUCACCGGCCUUUGAAUCUGGAAGGAGAAAUGUUUGUUCUGUUUGCUUCAAGAGAUUUUAAAUAUCAGUGUGACUGGAAAAGUACCAAGACACACACCUGAGUGAGAGUGUUCCAAUGCACUGACUGUGGGAAGAGCUUUAGCCAGUUACACAGCCUGAAAAAAUACCACACCAUUCACAGUGAGGAGAGACUGUGCAUGAGGCUUCAACUGAUCACUGAACCUGGAGAGACUCAAGGACACCCACACCAUGCAGAAACCAUGGAAAUGUGGGGACUGUGGGAAGGGGUUCAAAUACCCAUCUCACCUGGAAAUUCAUUGGAGCAGUCACAGUGGGGAGACGCCGUUCAUCUGCUGUUUGUGGGAAGGGAUUCAGUCAGUUAUCGUCCUUGGAGUCACACCAGCAUGUUCACCUGCUCUGAGUGCAGGAAGGGAUUUGCUCAGUUAUCUCACCUGCAGUGACACCAAGUUCACAAGUGAUUCCAGGAGUUGAAUUCUGCUGUUACUGCUGCUGUUAAUCACAUCCAGGACUUAACCAUGUUCAUUCUGACAAUUAGUGAAGUGGGAGGGUCGGUGGGUUUCUUUCUGCUGGACUGGCUGGUCUCAUGACUUUGCUUCCAGUGGCUGAUGCUCUUUGAGUCUGGGAGUGCACAUUUCCACUGAAAUGAUCCACAAAAGCUGGUGAAGGACAUUUGUUUUAUCCUGGAUAGUAAAUGUGAUUAUUCCUACCACUACAGGUAGAUCUGAAAUAAAUAUAGAGAGUGCAGGUAAAACUCAGCAGGUCUGGCAACAUCUUUGGAGAGAGCAACAGAGUUCCAGUCUAAUAUGACUCUUCCUCAGAACUUCAGAGAGGGAGAAAUGUGAUGGUCUUUGAGCCUGGGAGUGCACUUUUCCACUGAAAUGAUCCACAAAAGCUAAUGAAGUACAUUUAUUUUAUCCUGGAUAGUAAAUAGUGAUUGUUCCUACCACUACAAGUAGACCUAAAAUAAAUACAGAAAGUGUUGGAAAAACUCAGCAGGUCUGGCAGCAUCUUUGGUGACAGAAACAGAGUUAACAUUUCGAGUCCAAUAUGACUCUUGUCCAGAAUGUCAGAGAGGGAGAAAUAUGAUGGGUUUGUUGCUGUUGAGAAAGUGGGUAGGGUCUGGUAGAACAAAAGGGAAAGUCAGGGGUUGAUUAGAGGGCAGGUGAGAUUAAAUAACAAAAAUGUCAUGGAACAAAAGGCAAAGGGAGAGGUAAUUGUUGUAGUAAAGAAACAAAGCAUUGGUCCAGAGUAAGUGUUAAUAGCAGAAUAAAGGACAGCUCUGUCUGAAAGCAAAAACAUGAAAACAAGAUGCAGACUGGCACUUGGCAAAAAAAAAUCAAAACACAGGACAGGGUUGACAGUCUGAAGUUAUUGAACUCAAUGUUGAGUCCAGGAGGCUGUAAAGUGCCUCAUCAGAGGAUGAGGUGCUGUUCGUCCAGCUUGUGUUGGGCUUCUCGGGAACACUGCAGCAAGCCGAGGACAGAAAUGUGAGAAUGGGAGCAAGGUGGUGAAUUAUAAUGGCAGCAACUGGAAGGUCAGGGUCAUGCUUGUGGACUGAGCGGAGGUGUUCCACAAAGAGGGCAGCGAACAGGGACAGAUGAAUUAAAGAGAAACCAUUUGGCUCCAGAACAUUGUGCACAUCCUUUUACUCUGGUUGUCUUCAAUCCUUAAGUAAUUUUCUAUUUUUUUUAACCAUGUCCUGUUUCAUGAAUAAACCUUUAUCAAUAAAAGUA